AUUAGGGAUCGGGUGACCCAAGCACUUGCUAAAACAGUCCCACCAGGUACGGAACAACUGCAGCGGCAUCCACUGGCCCUCUCCCACGUGCCGUCGCUUGGCUCCCUGGUUCCCUUGGCAGCUCUUCUUGGCAUUUCCCUCCCCCACCCCUUGUUAUAAAAUCGUAAAGAGCAAGAUGAUACCUAUUUUUAGAUGGCUGUAUUUUUAAAACUAGAUUAACAUACUUUUUUUUUUUUAAACUAGGACACUUGCCCCCUUCUCAACUAAUAGCACCAGUUCAGAGCCUUCAGGUAAUUUCGUUGUUAGUAACCUGAUAUUGGAAUUGGAAUGUUUUCUGUAUUACUCAUUUUUUUCUCCCAGUUGUGACAGAAUCUCAUCAAAUCCCAACAUCUCUCCUGGGAGGAGAAUGUCACAGGUCAAGUGGGUGGGCAGGGGUUGAGAUGAGAGCGGUUAUUAAAUGGAACGCUCUUCUGUGUUCAUUCUUGUUAUAUUGAAGUUAAGAGGCAAGGUGAUUGGCAGCGGAAUCCCUUUUCAGGAUCACGUUUGCUGCCACAUUAGUUAAUAUCAGAGCACUUUAAUCUGAAGGAUGAUACUGUAACUUGAUUUAGCUAAUUUGCUUUGAAUUAUCGAUAGCUCUUUUAUUUAAUACCCUCCUACAGUACUGGGGACCACUGUAAACUUCUCAGAUGACUUGUAUUUUUGUAGCGCUAUGAGAUUUACGUGCAUCCCUGUAAAGAGAACUGGAUAUUCGCUGGAACUCUGCAAAUGCACGUGUAUAUAUUUGUUCUGCAAUGUGUUUUACUUGAUGUCAAUGUACUUUGAUGGUGAUGCCCACGUGCACUGGGUGGCGGGAGCGCUGAGUGGUUUCACCUCGGAAGAGCCGCUGCGGAGACCUGCAUGCUUCCCGAGAGCUGGUUGUUGUGGAAAGAUCUGCUGCUAGGACCUCGGGGAUGGGAGCCGGUCUCUGUUUGAGAGGAACGUCUGGGUGGAGGAGCAAAUUCCUCUGCUCUGUAUGCCACUCGAGAACUCUGGAGAAUGAAGGACAAUCUACUUCAAGGGUGUCUGGUUUCUACCACUGCUGGGAAAAAAAUUCCACAGGUAGCAUGCCUGCACCUCUCAAGGUCACCGGUUAACACCUGUCCUUGAGGACUCUGCUGUGAGGGAGAACUCAGCUAGGAAAGCUGGAGCCUGCUCUGAGCUGUUGGCAGGGGCAGGUGGACCGGAGGGCUGGAGCUCCUGCAGCCGGCGUGGGUCUGAGGGCUUACACCCAGCCGUCUGUACCAGGAGAGCCUGAAUUAGCCUCUAGCUGCUGACAGUGCUCACCAAACUGACGGGCCCUAGGAGGAGGCCGUGCUCUGCAGAAGCAGGAGCAGCUCUUUCUUGGCCUUGCCCGGCUGACCCCCCAGAAGACCAGUCAGUACUUCAGGGAAGCAUCCGAUGAAAUACCAAACACCUUGCGAUGAACUUCAGUGGGAGGUCAGCGUCCGGAAAAAAAUGUCAACCCUUUGCCCGGGUGUUUCAUAUCAUCUCAGUCCUUGGACUUUGACAGAUGUCCUGCCCACCCCUUUCAUUUCCUGUGUGUCGGCCUCCCCGGGUAACAGAAUGGAGGGGCAGGAAGGUCUGUCCUUUGCCACACGAACGGCGUUGACCCUGAGUGGAGGGUGCGUGCGUGGGUGAGUGGGAUACGUGUGUGGUUCCCAGCUCUGCUAACAGUGGGGGCGCGGAAGGGCACAGAGGGAGGAGAGUCCACGACACUCAGCCACCUGCCGGAUUGAAGGCCAGAGGCAACCUGGUGUUAAAUUAGGCACGGUCUCCCCUCCCUGUGCCCCUUCUUUUUUAGAACUGCUAACUAAUGGUCCCUCAAGGCUGAAGGAUCUGUUGCCUUAGGUGAGUGGAGAGCUUAACCUCCACACCAGCCUCAACCCUGUGGUUUCUCAGUAUCUAUCAUGUGAGCUGCUAACUUGACCUCUUCCUCCCUCUGACUUGAAAGUUCACCCAGCAUCUCUGGAUUACAGAAUUCUUAUUUCCUGCUUUGUUACUUCGGGAAUUUUGAACUUCUUUGCUUUUAUUUUUAAGAAGUAACCUAAAAUUUCCUACAACACUAAAUAAAAUGGCACUACCUUUC
rnacentral:lncRNA from 1 species